AAUGAACGCUGGCGGCAUGCCUUACACAUGCAAGUCGAACGGCAGCAUGACCUAGCUUGCUAGGUUGAUGGCGAGUGGCGAACGGGUGAGUAAUGCAUCGGAACGUGCCUUUUAGUGGGGGAUAACGUAGCGAAAGUUACGCUAAUACCGCAUAUUCUCUGAGGAGGAAAGCAGGGGACCUUCGGGCCUUGCGCUAGAAGAGCGGCCGAUGUCGGAUUAGCUAGUUGGUGAGGUAAAGGCUCACCAAGGCAACGAUCCGUAGCGGGUCUGAGAGGAUGAUCCGCCACACUGGGACUGAGACGCGGCCCAGACUCCUACGGGAGGCAGCAGUGGGGAAUUUUGGACAAUGGGCGCAAGCCUGAUCCAGCCAUGCCGCGUGAGUGAAGAAGGCCUUCGGGUUGUAAAGCUCUUUCGGCUGGGAAGAAAUCGCACCCUCUAAUACAGGGUGUGGAUGACGGUACCAGCAUAAGAAGCACCGGCUAACUACGUG
rnacentral:rRNA from 1 species